GAAGACUUCUGGGUGGAUCACCGCCAGCUGGUUGUUGCUCAGGUCCAGAGAGCGCAGACUUUGGAGGCCAGAGAAGGUGUGCGACUCCAUCUCCGAGAUCCUGGAAUGAAGGUUAACAUCAACCUGCUGGGGAUCUCAUUGCAAAGAAACAAGCCCAGGGCUCCCACUAAUUCAGCGUUAUAGUGAGUUGUAUUUUUCAUGCACUUAUUUUUGCUGUAUUUAUCUGGCACAAGUGGAAAGCCGGUCCAUGAAAAUAAUGCCUACAUUAAACCGGUCCGUGGUGCAAAAAAGGUUGGGGACCCCCGAUCUAACAUGUUGGACUUGCAACUGUAAUUGCAAUUUACUGCCAUACUUGCAAAUGAUAAUGAUAACCAUGAUGAUAAAUAUUGCAAUAAAAAAUUUGGUUUUA